GUUAGUGAUCAUGCAUCGUGAUAUAUGUCAAUUCCAUCGUCAUUUGAUACUGUGUCUGUUUGCAUCUAAGAUUGCUCAUUUUUCAUCGGAGAUGUGUAUUGUUGUGUUUGGUGAAUUCGUAGUCGUGCGAUGAUUCUGUACAUGUGCAUUGGAGGUUUGCUUGCCUGGAGUUUCCUUUCUCUGUGGUGGGGACUGUUUUAUGAACUGGCAUAGUUGUUGAACCAGGAAUGGAUUGCAGCGUUUAGUGCUUAAAUUAUAGCUUGAAAGUAUUCCCUAACUGAUUAUGUCAUGGUUUUGAUUGAGAAUUGAUUGGUGAAAUGCUGUCCGAGAGGAUAAUCAGAACAAUUAUCACUGUAUCUUUCCUUGUGGGUUCAUUGGGUGGAAAUGGGUUGGUGUCCCUCAUGAAUGCCAAAGUAUAGAUCAUCUUGGAAGUUGAUAAUUUUGAAUUGUUAAGUUACUGCAUGGCACUAUGAGCCGGUUGAUUGGAAGUAAGUUUCAGCAUCAUGACAAGAUGAUAUAUAUAAUACGUCCAUGAAAAUAUCUCCUUUUCCAUUUAUGAUCAGGACAUUUUCAGUGCAUGGUAACACACAUAAUGUAUCUAUUGCAGUAAUUAGAUACUUUUUACAAUAUAUCCAUCAAGGCUCUGUUAACUUUUUUGACCAAUUUCAACUAUGUAAGUAUAACUACUAACUAACGUCAUGAGAUAAUGUUGACUUCUUGCCUGUUAGUUUGUUGUUCAGCGACUCUAGUAGUUUAUAGCAGCUUUUAGGUUUUAUCCUUUGUUCUAAAGUUGUUUGACAACUAAUACAAGGACUCAAAAUUUGGGAUUUGAUAGGCCAAAAUGGAAAAGACGGUUGAUGAAGAGACCAGGCAGAUUGAUUGGUACCCCAUUCCAUAAGAUGAUGUAGGUCCUCUUAUUUUUCUUAGUGUUAUCUGAGUUAAGAAGCUAGAAGAAUACAGUAUGAAUGAUUUGUGAGCUUAAGAAAUUGUAGUAUCAUAAAGCUUACUGUCUUGGGCCCUACUCAUACAUUUGUUUUGCUGCUCGAAGUGAGUCUGAGAAGUAAUCAAGCUUUCUGGAGAAACUUGUUCAAUUGGUUUGAAAAUGAUUUAGAGAAAAAAAAUUCGCAAAAUUCUUGCAUUUGUGCUGUGCUGCCUUUUUGUGUGUGUUUGAAGUUUCUCGAAAUGUGCUAUUAUGCUCAACAAAUAUGUGCUUAACUAUAACUGGAAAUUAACUUUAUAGUGGUUCACAAUAGAUGUUGGUGUUUUUUUAUUUCAUUUUCCAUGUUGACCGAGAUUGAAAGAUUCUUUGUGCAAAUAGUCUACGAGUGCACAUCUAGAAGAUAUAUUUGGAAUCAUGGGUAUUCCUUAUACUUGUGCACAUAUUUUUUUUUUGUAAAUGGUUCACUAUAUUUAUCCAUGUAUUAGCUCUUGCAUUACAAUUAUGCUGAUCUUUUGUUGCAAAGUAACAUACCCAUAUAUUUUGCAAGUUUGAACUUCAAUUAUAGUUGUCCCAUGUCCAUGUGCUACAUUUCUGGUCGUUUCUUGGAGGCUAAAUGUGCAAGCGACUCCUGUUACCAAUGGUCUCCUCAAACCCUAGAUCAUAAUCAUUAGUUUUGCAAUAAUCAUAACUAAAGGUUGAUUUGACGAUUUCUAUUAGGAAAUGGCGAUGACGUAUGAUGCUUGGGAAGCAGUUUUAAAGCUUGGCAAAGGUGCUGCUGUUAACAACAAAUUGUUUCUAUGGUUACUCUGGUGAUCUUAUCUCAUGAAGAAAGCAUUUAUCCACUGCAAACAGCUACUAAUAUUGUAUAAAAUCUGGCACAUGAACUUAGGGAGGCUAAAAUGAAACCAUUCAUAUCUUCACUUGUUGAAAGUGGAAUCACAUAGCUUACGGAGGUUAUGUCAUACAACAUCACUUGAUGAUUAGAGACUUAUAUUUACCAUGUCACUCAAGGUCAGUGCUGCUGAGUAUGGGUUUUUCUACCGCGGUAGAGUUCUUUAUGUUAUACGGCAUUAGUAGUCUAAGAAACCUUAUCUUCUUUUUCUUUUUUUCUAUAUAUAUUCUGCAAUCUGAGACCUCUGCCCCUCCCCCCUCCCACUGUAGCACUACCGAUUGAGAGUAUCCUUGGAUUUUAUUAAACUGCUAUGAAUAUUUCACUUAAUAUGCACAUUUAAAUGAGUUUGAUUAAAAAAACUCUUGUAUGUGAACUUUACAUUUUUGUAUUCUGAUUAGAGAUUCUGUGGAUAUAUGUUCACUGCCUUGUCUGUGACCUUAUGUGCAGGUACUUAAUCUUCAUUGUUGGUAUCCUUCAAUGCAAGAGUACAAUUCUUGGAGUUUGCAUCUUUUGGAAGCUCAUUCGGCUGGCGCACUUUUCCUGCAUUCUGCAGAGUUCUUAGUGCUAGGUCGUGUCUUAGAUCAAUGGAUGUUAUACUUGCUCCAACUUUUAUAUAAUGAAUAAUCACAUGCUAAUCAACUGUUAUGUGUGCUAUUAACAGUGUCUGAGUCAUGGGUCAGUUUCAUGGAGCGAGGGUUUAAUUUUGCCUUGUUUUCAUGGUGGCCCAAUAUGUUAUAUCUUCUCCGGCCUCGUGCCUCUUAGGGUGUGUUUGGUUGAA